AACGAACGCUGGCGGCAUGCCUAACACAUGCAAGUCGAACGAGACCUUCGGGUCUAGUGGCGCACGGGUGCGUAACGCGUGGGAACCUGCCCUUAGGUUCGGAAUAACUCCCCGAAAGGGGUGCUAAUACCGGUUAAUGUCUUCGGACCAAAGAUUUAUCGCCUUUGGAUGGGCCCGCGUUGGAUUAGCUAGUUGGUAGGGUAAAAGCCUACCAAGGCGACGAUCCAUAGCUGGUCUGAGAGGAUGAUCAGCCACACUGGGACUGAGACACGGCCCAGACUCCUACGGGAGGCAGCAGUGGGGAAUAUUGGACAAUGGGCGAAAGCCUGAUCCAGCAAUGCCGCGUGAGUGAUGAAGGCCUUAGGGUUGUAAAGCUCUUUUAGCCGGGAUGAUAAUGACAGUACCGGGAGAAUAAGCUCCGGCUAACUCCGUG
rnacentral:rRNA from 1 species